rnacentral:rRNA from 1 species
UACGGAAGGGGCAAGCGUUGUUCGGAAUUAUUGGGCGUAAAGGGCGCGUAGGCGGCUUUGCAAGUGACGGGUGAAAGCCCUCGGCUUAACCGAGGAACUGCCUGUCAGACUGUAAGGCUUGAGACCGGGAGAGGUGAGUGGAAUUCCCAGUGUAGCGGUGAAAUGCGCAGAUAUCAGGAGGAACACCAAUGGCGAAGGCAGCUCGCUGGAACGGAACUGACGCUGAGGCGCGAAAGCGUGGGGAGCGAACAGG